CCUUGCCAGCCCGCUACAGAAACUUAAAUGAAUUGACGGGGGCCCGCACAAGCGGAGGAGCAUGUGGUUUAAUUCGAUGAUACGCGAGGAACCUUACCUGGGCUCGAACGUAAGAUGACUGUAGGUGAAAGCUUACAUCUCUUCGGAGCAUUUUACGAGGUGCUGCAUGGUUGUCGUCAGCUCGUGCCGUGAGGUGUCGGGUUAAGUCCCAUAACGAGCGCAACCCCUACCUUUAGUUGCCAUCAGGUUAAGCUGGGGACUCUAAAGGAACUGCCUACGCAAGUAGUGAGGAAGGCGGGGAUGACGUCAAAUCAGCACGGCCCUUACGUCCAGGGCUACACACGUGCUACAAUGGCCGAUACAGAGGGCAGCUACCUGGUGACAGGAUGCAAAUCUCCAAAGUCGGUCUCAGUUCGGAUCGGAGUCUGCAACCCGACUCCGUGAAGUUGGAUUCGCUAGUAAUCGCGCAUCAGCCAUGGCGCGGUGAAUACGUUCCCGGGCCUU
rnacentral:rRNA from 1 species